rnacentral:tRNA from 1 species
GGAGGCGUGGCAGAGUGGUUUAUUGCAGCGGUCUUAUAAACCGUCGGGGAAGGUUAGCGUCCGGCCCCCGUGGGUUCGAAUCCUACCGCCUCCG